GACGAACGCUGGCGGCGUGCCUAAUACAUGCAAGUAGGACGCAGUUGCGAACGGGUGAGUAACGCGUAGGUAACUACCUAUUAGAGGGGGAUAACUAUUGGAAACGAUAGCUAAUACCGCAUACUAGUAGAUGGACCUUCGUUGUAUUAGCUAGUAGGUAGGGUAAUGGCCUACCUAGGCAACGAUACAUAGCCGAGCUGCGGAGGGUGUCGGCCACACUGGGAAUGGGGCACGGCCCCGACCUCUUCGGGAGGGAGGAGUAGGGGAUCUUCGGCAAUUGGGGGAACGCUGACCGAGCAACGGCGGCGGGGUGGAGAAGGUUUUCGGAUCUGAAAGCUCUGUUGUUCAGGAAGCGGUACUUAACCAGAAAGGGACGGCUAACUCCGUGCCAGCAGCCGCGGUAAUAC
rnacentral:rRNA from 1 species